UAGGGAAUCUUCGGCAAUGGACGAAAGUCUGACCGAGCAACGCCGCGUGAGUGAAGAAGGUCUUCGGAUCGUAAAACUCUGUUGUUAGAGAAGAACAAGGACGUUAGUAACUGAACGUCCCCUGACGGUAUCUAACCAGAAAGCCACGGCUAACUACGUGCCAGCAGCCGCGGUAAUACGCAGGUGGCAAGCGUUGUCCGGAUUUAUUGGGCGUAAAGCGAGCGCAGGCGGUUUCUUAAGUCUGAUGUGAAAGCCCCCGGCUCAACCGGGGAGGGUCAUUGGAAACUGGGAAACUUGAGUGCAGAAGAGGAGAGUGGAAUUCCGUGUGUAGAGGUGAAAUGCGUAGAUAUAUGGAGGAAAACCAGUGGCGAAGGCGGCGCUCUGGUCAGUAACUGACGCUGAGGUUGGAAAGCGUGGGGAGCAAACAGG
rnacentral:rRNA from 1 species